rnacentral:lncRNA from 1 species
AAUUACAUAUAUGUCCCCGCAAACAUAGUAAAUUACAAAUGUAUCCUUAUAUUUUCAGAAAUAUGUCCCUCUGGUUUUAUUAUAGUUAGAGAACAGUUAGAAAAUUGUUUAUAUUUUUAAUUUUGUCAUCACAAAUAUGUUCAUCCAAAAAUUAUAACAGUAUAAUAUAAGAGGAGUAAAAAUGUCAAAAAUUAAUCCUGUAAAGUAUUUUACAUAUGGUUAAUUAAAUUUUUCUAACGGGUUCUAACGGUAAAGAACAUAUCUGAAAAUAUUAGAACUUUUACAGGAAUAAAACUUUAUGGCAGUGUUUGGUUGAGGGAUAAAGUGGGAAUAAACCAUUUUAUCCCUCUAAUUCAUCCAAACACUAAAAGAGGGGAUGAGUUUAUUUAAUCCCCCUCUUAACGGGUUAUUCUAGAAUAACCCGUUAGCAGUGUUUGGUUGAGGGAUAAAGUGGGAAUAAACCAUUUUAUCCCUCUAAUUCAUCCAAACACUAAAAGAGGGGAUGAGUUUAUUUAAUCCCCCUCUUAACGGGUUAUUCUAGAAUAACCCGUUAAGAGUGGAAAAUUGUUGUUCCACCAUUUUGGUGGAAUAACAAUUUCUUCUCUUUAUUCCUCUACUAAUUUAAUAAUAAAAUAUUAUUAAUUAAUGUAUUAUAUAAUAUUUUAUUAAUUAAUUAACUAAAUUAAUAAUGAACUAAGUUAGUAAUAAAAUAUUGGCUAAAUUAAUAACUAUUUAUUAAAGUUUAAAAAUUUUAAUUCUAAUAUAAAGAAAGGGAUAAUACCAUUAUUUUUUAUUUAUAACUACCCACUUUAAUUCUUAUUCCAUCUUAUCUAACAAAACGCUAUUUUUUUAUUAUCAGGAAUAACCCAAUUUUCAUCCAAACGUAAAAUUGAUCUAAUCCUCGUUUAUACCUCAAUUUAUACCUAUUCCUGGAAUAGUCACUUUUUGCUUAUUCCCGAACCAAACGAUACGCAAUUGACCCUUUUUAAUAACUAUUUGCGGGGAUUUAUAUGCAAUUGACCCUUUUUAUUUUUGAACAAAUUUUUUUUGCUUGGUCCCUGUAUAGUAAUAUUAUUAUAUACUAUUUUAUAGUUUGAAUGUAUUUAUAAAAUAUAGAACAAGCUUUUAAUAUAUUUUUAAUCUAAUAAAAUAUUUUAAAUUUAUUUUAAUUUUUAUAUUAUAUAUUAGUAGUUAAAUAAUAUAUGAUUGCUAUAUAUUUUUAGUAAUUUGAUGUAUCUAGCUUAAUACUUUGAUAAUAAUGAAUAAAUAGUAAACUUAACUUAAAUUGAUUUGAAUUAAAGUUAAAUUAAAUUUAGAUAAAAAUUGUUUUACUAUAUUUUUAAAAAUCUGCGGAGUUUUCUGAGGUGAUUUUUUUUUGGCCGAGGUGGAACAACGACGGAGCUGGAAU